rnacentral:rRNA from 1 species
ACGGCUCAGUAACACGUGGAUAACCUGCCCUUGGGUCCGGCAUAACCCCGGGAAACUGGGGAUAAUUCCGGAUAACGCACAUAUGCUGGAAUGCUUUAUGCGUAAAAUGGAUUCGUCUGCCCAAGGAUGGGUCUGCGGCCUAUCAGGUAGUAGUGGGUGUAAUGUACCUACUAGCCAACAACGGGUACGGGUUGUGAGAGCAAGAGCCCGGAGAUGGAUUCUGAGACAUGAAUCCAGGCCCUACGGGGCGCAGCAGGCGCGAAAACUUUACAAUGCGGGAAACCGUGAUAAGGGGACACCGAGUGCCAGCAUCAUAUGCUGGCUGUCCAGGUGUGUAAAAUACACCUGUUAGCAAGGGCCGGGCAAGACCGGUGCCAGCCGCCGCGGUAACACCGGCGGCCCGAGUGGUGAUCGUGAUUAUUGGGUCUAAAGGGUCCGUAGCCGGUUUGGUCAGUCCUCCGGGAAAUCUGACGGCUCAACCGUUAGGCUUUCGGGGGAUACUGCCAGGCUUGGAACCGGGAGAGGUAAGAGGUACUACAGGGGUAGGAGUGAAAUCUUGUAAUCCCUGUGAGACCACCUGUGGCGAAGGCGUCUUACCAGAACGGGUUCGACGGUGAGGGACGAAAGCUGGGGGCACGAACCGGAUUAGAUACCCGGGUAGUCCCAGCCGUAAACGAUGCUCGCUAGGUGUCAGGCAUGGCGCGACCGUGUCUGGUGCCGCAGGGAAGCCGUGAAGCGAGCCACCUGGGAAGUACGGCCGCAAGGCUGAAACUUAAAGGAAUUGGCGGGGGAGCAC